CAAUAGCAUAUAUUAACGUUGUUGCAGUUGAAAAGCUCGUAGUUGAACUUUUGGUAGGAGCGACCUGGCCUUGGGCGCAUGCCCUUGUUUGCCGUGUGUCGUGUCUGGCCAUCCUUUUCCGCUUCGGCGGGAAUCUUUUACUGUGAGUAAACUGGAGUGCUCAAAACAAGACGUUUGUUUGGUACAUUAAAGCAUGGAAUAAUAAGAUAGGACCUGGUUACUAUUUUGUCGGUUUGCAUAGCUAGGUAAUGAUUAACAGGGACAGUUGGGGGUAUUCGUAUUUAAUUGUCAGAGGUGAAAUUCUUGGAUUUAUGAAAGACGAACGACUGCGAAAGCAUUUACCAAGGAUGUUUUCAUUAA
rnacentral:rRNA from 1 species